UACGAAGGGGGCUAGCGUUGCUCGGAAUCACUGGGCGUAAAGGGUGCGUAGGCGGGUUUUUAAGUCAGAGGUGAAAUCCUGGAGCUCAACUCCAGAACUGCCUUUGAUACUGAGAAUCUCGAGUAUGGGAGAGGUGAGUGGAACUGCGAGUGUAGAGGUGAAAUUCGUAGAUAUUCGCAAGAACACCAGUGGCGAAGGCGGCUCACUGGCCCAUAACUGACGCUGAGGCACGAAAGCGUGGGGAGCGAACAGG
rnacentral:rRNA from 1 species